rnacentral:rRNA from 1 species
UACGAGGGGGGCGAGCGUUGUUCGGAAUUAUUGGGCGUAAAGGGUGCGUAGGCGGUUUGGUAAGUCUCGUGUGAAAUCUCCGGGCUCAACUCGGAGCCUGCACGAGAAACUGCCGGGCUUGAGUGUGGGAGAGGUGAGUGGAAUUCCUGGUGUAGCGGUGAAAUGCGUAGAUAUCGGGAGGAACACCAGUGGCGAAGGCGGCGACCUGGGCCAAUAUUGACGCUGAGGUGCGAAAGCGUGGGGAGCAAACAGG